rnacentral:rRNA from 1 species
AUUGAGCAUCAAUUGCUU